rnacentral:rRNA from 1 species
GACGAACCGUGCAAACGUUAUUCGGAAUCACUGGGCUUACAGAGUUCGUAGGCGGUCCGGAAAGUUGGGUGUGAAAUCCCUCGGCUCAACCGAGGAACUGCGCUUGAAACUACCAGACUCGAGGGAGAUAGAGGAAAGCGGAACUGAUGGUGGAGCGGUGAAAUGCGUUGAUAUCAUCAGGAACACCGGUGGCGAAGGCGGCACGCUGGAUCUCAUCUGACGCUGAGGCGCGAAAGCCAGGGGAGCAAACGGG